AGAGUUUGAUCCUGGCUCAGGAUGAACGCUAGCGGCAGGCUUAACACAUGCAAGUCGAGGGGUAACAGGGUGCUUGCACCGCUGACGACCGGCGCACGGGCACGGGUGCGUAACGCGUAUACAAUCUACCUUUUACAGAGAGAUACCCCAGAGAAAUUUGGAAUAAUACCUCAUAAUAUUAUUGCUCGGCAUCGAGUGACAAUUAAAGUUUCGGCGGUAAAAGAUGAGUAUGCGUCCUAUUAGCUAGUUGGUAAGGUAACGGCUUACCAAGGCGACGAUAGGUAGGGGUCCUGAGAGGGAGAUCCCCCACACUGGUACUGAGACACGGACCAGACUCCUACGGGAGGCAGCAGUGAGGAAUAUUGGUCAAUGGGCGAAAGCCUGAACCAGCCAUGCCGCGUGCAGGAAGACUGCCCUAUGGGUUGUAAACUGCUUUUAUCUGGGAAGAAUCACUCGGACGUGUCCGAGCUUGACGGACUGUAUGAAUAAGCACCGGCUAACUCCGUGCCAGCAGCCGCGGUAAUACGGAGGAUCCGAGCGUUAUCCGGAUUUAUUGGGUUUAAAGGGUGCGUAGGCGGGAAAUUAAGUCAGUGGUGAAAGUUUGCAGCUCAACUGUAAAAUUGCCAUUGAAACUGAUUUUCUUGAGUGUAAAUAAGGUAGGCGGAAUGUGUUGUGUAGCGGUGAAAUGCAUAGAUAUAACACAGAACACCAAUUGCGAAGGCAGCUUACCGGGCUACAACUGACGCUGAGGCACGAAAGCGUGGGGAUCAAACAGGAUUAGAUACCCUGGUAGUCCACGCAGUAAACGAUGAAUACUAACUGUAUGCGAUAUACUGUAUGCGGUACAGCGAAAGCGUUAAGUAUUCCACCUGGGGAGUACGUUCGCAAGAAUGAAACUCAAAGGAAUUGACGGGGGCCCGCACAAGCGGAGGAACAUGUGGUUUAAUUCGAUGAUACGCGAGGAACCUUACCCGGGCUUGAAAUGCAUCUGACCGGUCUGGAAACAGACUUUCUAGCAAUAGCAGAUGUGUAGGUGCUGCAUGGUUGUCGUCAGCUCGUGCCGUGAGGUGUCGGCUUAAGUGCCAUAACGAGCGCAACCCUUGUCGUUAGUUGCCAUCAAGUAAUGUUGGGGACUCUAGCGAGACUGCCACCGUAAGGUGUGAGGAAGGGGGGGAUGACGUCAAAUCAGCACGGCCCUUACGUCCGGGGCGACACACGUGUUACAAUGGUAGGUACAGAGGGCAGCUACCCAGCGAUGGGAUGCGAAUCUCUAAAACCUAUCUCAGUUCGGAUCGGAGUCUGCAACUCGACUCCGUGAAGUUGGAUUCGCUAGUAAUCGCGCAUCAGCCAUGGCGCGGUGAAUACGUUCCCGGGCCUUGUACACGCCGCCCGUCAAGCCAUGGAAGCUGGGGGUGCCUGAAGUUCGUGACCGCAAGGAGCGACCUAGGGCAAAACUAGUAACUGGGGCUAAGUCGUAACAAGGUAACC
rnacentral:rRNA from 1 species